UCUGAUCUACACACAUUAUUAACCUCUUUAGCAUAACAUUAGCUAUCUUAUCUUUGUCCGGAUGAUUGUGUAGUUGGCAUUUGGAUUGUAGAUCAUAAGGUCAUAUACCUACCCGUUUGUAAACUGGACAUCGGCCUCCAAAGAUUUACAUAUUCUGAA